ACUUAAUUUAAUCAGAUUAAAUUAGAUUUAAAUCUGAUUUAAUUUUCUAAUCAAAUUAGAAAUUAGAUUGACCCAAGUCCUAGUUGAACUAGGACUAGUUUUUCCUUGCACUUGGCUUAUCCAAUAAACUAAUUGGACUUGAUCCAAUCAAGCCCAAACUAAAUAUAAUUAAAUUAUAUUUAAUUAGACUUAAUCUCAGCCCAUUGGAUUAAUCAAAUUAAGUCAAUUAGCAAUCGAAUUGCUAAUCGAUCCUCCUGCAACACUUGCACUGGGUUAAAUGUAAAUCGUAUUGAUCAUUUAACCUUAGAACGAUUCUUAAUCGUUGAUCAACCA
rnacentral:lncRNA from 1 species